rnacentral:rRNA from 1 species
CACGUAGGGCGCAAGCGUUGUCCGGAAUUAUUGGGCGUAAAGAGCGUGUAGGCGGCCAGGUAGGUCUGCUGUGAAAACUCGAGGCUUAACCUCGAGACGUCGGCGGAAACCAUCUGGCUAGAGUCCGGAAGAGGAGAGUGGAAUUCCUGGUGUAGCGGUGAAAUGCGCAGAUAUCAGGAAGAACACCCGUGGCGAAGGCGGCUCUCUGGGACGGUACUGACGCUGAGACGCGAAAGCGUGGGGAGCGAACAGG